rnacentral:snRNA from 1 species
UGGUGUGAGGGCAAUCUGCUGUGACAUCUGUCAUCCUAUUGAUCACCAGAGUUAAUUUGGCUGCUUUGGCUGGCUAGGCAGGUGUCCCCUUCCUCCCUCACCACUCCACGUGUGUCCCUCCUGAAGCUGUGAGCUCAGUCUAAGAGGAAGACCUUCCCCAAGCUGGGCAUGUAUUUGAACUCACUUUUCUGUUGCCUUUCCAAGGGUCCAUGGGAGCUGUUAUCUUUGGUCCAGCCCAUCACUGAUCCAUCACUGUCUUGUCACUUGGUCCAAUAAAUUGUCAGAAUUGGAUGAAACUUAUUCCCUGGGAAACACAUUCCCAUUUUGG